GUUUUAUUAAACGCCUCCCACCUUCCCCAGCUCCAUCUCCUAGAACAUUGAAACGCACAAGGUGUUGGGUUUUUCCUCCUAAGCGCAGACGCAAUGAAAAUAAUUAGAUAUGAAGGGACAUUCCGGUAAGGACGCGGAAUCCAAAGGAGGAAAUAAAACAAUAGCCUUUGUUCUGCUUCUCGACCGCUGCCUCUUUAAGAGAAUCCACCAGGAAAUGGGAGAUCGGGUUACAGCCUGCACACCGGGAAAUGUGGGGAGAGCGAGCGCCCGAGCGCGACGCCGGAGACAAAGCCGGGCCGCCGCGCCGCAGACGCAGGAGCGCGGCCGGGUGGGGGAUUCCCCGUGAAGGUGGGCGCCCCGAAAGGCGGCGGCGCCGCGCGCGCCCGCGGGGGGAUGCAGCGGCCGCGGGCGCUUCCCCAGCGGAGCACGCGUUCUGGGGCAAGGAAGGCGGCUGGGCAGUUAUCAAAAGCAGAACAUUCGAAUUUAGGAGAAGCAACAUGAGUAAUCCUGAGGAUAGGAAUGAAAGUGACAUGUCACUCCUGAUCCAAAGCUGGAAAGAGUGGGUUUGAGUUCUCCAUGUGUUCCUUUACCCGGCUGCAACGAUGUACAGCAUACCCGACAGCGACGCCUUCAUCAGUAAACUUCUAUCACUCAAGAUUGAAUCCUCAUCUUGUAUCAGAAUCAGCCAGCUGUCGGCCAAAAUUUGUGAUCCUGUGCAGAGAAUUGAGUUGUCACUGGAAGCAGCUACCCAGACAAGGACUAGAUUUUCCCAUUCCUCCUGCACCAGAAGUUGUCUUCCUUCCGAUGCCAACCUGUGGAAUCUGAAACCAGAUGACCAUGAGAUCCAGGAGACAGCAGAGCCAAAAGGGAAAAAAAACCCUGGAUUCCUGAAUCACCAAAUGGAAGAAAGCCACCCACAGAUCAGUAACACCCAUCCUGGCCUGUGAUGUGAGUGAGAAAGAAACUUUGAUUUUACAUAAGGUGUAGCUGACCAAAAGCAGAGCUGCUUGCAAAAGUCAUGGCUCCAAACGAGUGCCCCUCAGCAAAGGAGGAAGGGCAGCAUGUGUAGAAGUCAGGAGCCAUCGAGGUGGAGAGACGCUGGCAGACUAAUUUGCCACAGGUCACAUCUGGCUGAGUCUGCAGUGGAGGAUGGAGAAAAUUAAGAUUGUAUGUUUUCAAAUGACCCAAUAAACCCAAUGCUGCCUUGGACAAUCACUUCCCAGCCUAAGAAAACAUGCACUGAAAGCAAAGUAAAACAGUAACACUUUUUAAAAGAUAUGACUUCAGCUUCCAACCCUACUUCAGAACUUGGUGAGCUAGUGUGCGUCCUGAGAAGAAUAUCCUUAACCUAAACUAAGCUGACUUGAAUAGCUCUUAGAAUAAUAGCCGCAAAUAGGUUUCAUUUUAUUUGCCAACUCUAAUAAAUUGGUAGUGGCUUCUUGAAGUUCUAUACCAUCAAGGAUUCUAAGACUGAAGGAGAAUUCAGUGGGACAGCAUAUCACGAUGUAUUAACAACGUCUGUCAUGGGCUUGAGAAUGGAUUAUGGUGGAGAUAUUUGACAUUUCCUGACCUAAAACCAAAGCAAGUCAAGAAGACUCUUCUACCUAAUUCUAUCCCAAAGACUGAACUUAAGAUCUUACCACUAUAAAGAGAUGAAAGGCAGUACUUAUCAUUUAAAAUAAAAGCAGACACUUUGCAAGAAAAGGUAAAAAUAAGACAAUAUUUGUCCUAAUGCUUAUUUUGUACAGCUCUCCUGGGACGUCCUUGGUCAAUUUCCCCUUUAUGGGACAAAAAAAGGCCCCUACCAAAUGCAAAUCAAAACUACAAUAAGAUAUCCCCUUCCACCUGUUAGAAUGACUAGUAUCAUAAAUACAAGAAAUAACAAGUGUUGGCAAAAGGGAACCCUUUUGUACCCUUGGUGGGGAUGUAAAUUGGUGCAGCCACUAUGGAAAACAGUAUGGAGGUUCCUCAAAAAAUUAAAAAUAGAACUACUAGAUGAUCCAGCAAUCCAACUUCUGUGUAUAUAUCCAAAGGAAAUAAAAACAAUAUCUCAAAGAGAUAGCUGCACUCCCAUGUUCAUUGCAGCAUUAUUCACCAUAUCCAAGAUCUAAGUGCCCAUUGAUGGAUGCAUGAAUAAAGAAGUUGUGGUAUAUAUACACAAUGGAAUAUUAUUUAGCCAUGAGAAAGAAGGACAUUCUGCGGUCUUUUUUGCAACAUGAACGGAUCUUGAGGGCAUUAUGCUAAGUGAAAUAAGUCAGACAGAGAAACACAAAUGCUGUAUGAUAUAGGUGGAAUCUAAGAAAAGCCGAACUCAUUGAAACAGAGACUGCAAUGGUGAUUACCAGGGGAUGGGGGAUGUGAGGGAAAGGAGGAGAUGUUAGUCAAAAAGUAUAAAUUUCCAGUUAUAAGAUACAUAAGUUCUGGGGAUCUAAUGUACAGCAUGGUGAUUAUAGUUAAUAAUACUGUAUUAUAUACUUGAAAGUUGUUAAGAGAGUAAUCUUAAAUGUUCUCACCACAAAAAAGAAAUGGUAAUUGUGUGACAUGAUGCAGGUGUUAGCGAACACUAUGGUCAUAAUCAUUUUGCAAUAUGUAAGUGCAUCAAAUCAACACAUUGUACACCUCAAACUUACACAAUACUAUAUGUCAAUUAUAUCUCAACAAAGCUGAAAAAAAGCUAUCACUCACCAUACACCAUCGUUUCUUUGGGAGAGGGCCAUAAAAAUCAGCAAACUAUAGCUAAAUAGAAAGUUCUACUAAGAUUUCUGUGUACCUUUCCCCUCAAAAUAAAGAUAUCCCUAUAAAGGAUCGAU
ensembl:lncRNA